rnacentral:rRNA from 1 species
AGUGAACGCUGGCGGUAGGCCUAACACAUGCAAGUCGAACGGCAGCACAGUAAGAGCUUGCUCUUACGGGUGGCGAGUGGCGGACGGGUGAGGAAUACAUCGGAAUCUACUUUUUCGUGGGGGAUAACGUAGGGAAACUUACGCUAAUACCGCAUACGACCUACGGGUGAAAGCAGGGGAUCUUCGGACCUUGCGCGAUUGAAUGAGCCGAUGUCGGAUUAGCUAGUUGGCGGGGUAAAGGCCCACCAAGGCGACGAUCCGUAGCUGGUCUGAGAGGAUGAAGAGGGACAGUGGGGAUGAGAAGCGGCACAGAGUCCUAGGGGAGGCAGAAGUGGGGAAUGUAGGCAAAAGGGGGGAAGACUGAACAAGGGAUGGAGCGUGGAUGAAGAAGGGCUGCGGGUUGUAAAACGGUUUUGUGGGGGAAGAACACUUGCGGGCAUAAAGAAGCUUGGUGUGACGGUAGUGAAUAAAGAAGCACCGGCUAACUACGUG